rnacentral:ncRNA from 2 species
GGAAGUUAUGGUGAGAAGGGUAAGAAGGGAUCUCCACCCUUGGAUAAAUCCUAAUUGGAUAUCAACACUAAUGAGAUGCACUAGAUCAAUUCCCAUGAGAAGCGCAAUUCAUGGGAUGGGGUGAGAUUAAAAGUGAUCACCCUUCUUACGCUUCUCACCUUAAUUCCUA